AUACGUAGGGGGCGAGCGUUGUCCGGAAUUACUGGGUGUAAAGGGAGCGUAGGCGGGAUCGCAAGUCAGAUGUGAAAUACAUGGGCUUAACCCAUGGGCUGCAUUUGAAACUGUGGUUCUUGAGUGAAGUAGAGGUAAGCGGAAUUCCUGGUGUAGCGGUGAAAUGCGUAGAUAUCAGGAGGAACACCGGUGGCGAAGGCGGCUUACUGGGCUUUUACUGACGCUGAGGCUCGAAAGCGUGGGGAGCAAACAGGAUUAGAUACCCUGGUAGUCCACGCUGUAAACGAUGAUUACUAGGUGUGGGGGGACUGACCCCUUCCGUGCCGCAGUUAACACAAUAAGUAAUCCGCCUGGGGAGUACGGCCGCAAGGUUGAAACUCAAAUGAAUUGACGGGG
rnacentral:rRNA from 1 species